CUUCCCAGAUCUAAGCCCACCCACUGGCGCUAUGGCGGCCUUCCCGCGGAUCGCGGCGCACUGCAGGUAUGAGUCCAUCGCCUGCGGGACUUCGCCUUGCAGACGGCCCCUACCUCGCCCCAGGAUCCCUGUCAGGCGCCACAUGUCGUGGCCAGCACCAUAGAGCCUGCAGCCGAGGGAUCGAGGCCCAAAGGACGGGACAGGGACCAGAGUGGCCGCUGCGCUGUCCCCAGCGGCCGAGUCCCCAGCCAGCCAAUCAGCAAGGAGCCCUGCCGGAAGGAUGACGCUCUAGGAAGGAAGUGGCCAUCGGAUAGGGCGGGCUUGGCGCUGGCGAGCGGGGAUAACGAUAGGCCUUCAUGCUGGUCCUGAGCUUUUACCGUGAUGCUUCCCCCGUUGCCCUCUGUUUGGAUGUCCAUUCCCACCUUUGGCCUGGGUUCCACUAAGUUAAAGCCAGAAAGAGGGGGAAAGCGACACCAAGAAUCCAUUCCAAACGAAAAACCAAGAGGAGACGCGGCAGCUCCUAGAUGUUGAUGUUUUGUUUUUUUGACAUAAAUCUUCGCACUCAUA
rnacentral:lncRNA from 1 species